UGACCUCCGGUUUACCAGUUGUUUCGCCAGGAGCACCGCUGGGUAUCCGCGUCGGGACGGGAUAAGCGCUGAAAGCAUCUAAGUGCGAAGCCCACCACAAGAUUAGAUUUCCUCAUAAGGGUCGUCGUAGACCACGACGUUGAUAGGCUGCAGAUGUACGCACAGCAAUGUGUUCAGUCGAGCAGUACUAAUUGCCCGAAAGCUUUUUUAUG
rnacentral:rRNA from 1 species